GAUGAACGCUGGCGGCGUGCCUAAUACAUGCAAGUCGAGCGAACGGACGAGAAGCUUGCUUCUCUGAUGUUAGCGGCGGACGGGUGAGUAACACGUGGAUAACCUACCUAUAAGACUGGGAUAACUUCGGGAAACUGUAGCUAAUACCGGAUAAUAUUUUGAACCGCAUGGUUCAAAAGUGAAAGACGGUCUUGCUGUCACUUAUAGAUGGAUCCGCGCUGCAUUAGCUAGUUGGUAAGGUAACGGCUUACCAAGGCAACGAUGCAUAGCCGACCUGAGAGGGGGAUCGGCCACACUGGAACUGAGACACGGUCCAGACUCCUACGGGAGGCAGCAGUAGGGAAUCUUCCGCAAAGGGCGAAAGCCUGACGGAGCAACGCCGCGUGAGUGAUGAAGGUCUUCGGAUCGUAAAACUCUGUUAUUAGGGAAGAACAUAUGUGUAAGUAACUGUGCACAUCUUGACGGUACCUAAUCAGAAAGCCACGGCUAACUACGUG
rnacentral:rRNA from 1 species